GUGUCAGUAGCCGCGGUAAUACGGAGGGUGCGAGCGUUAAUCGGAAUUACUGGGCGUAAAGCGCAUGCAGGUGGUUAGUUAAGUCAGAUGUGAAAGCCCGGGGCUCAACCUCGGAAUUGCAUUUGAAACUGGCUGACUAGAGUACUGUAGAGGGGGGUAGAAUUUCAGGUGUAGCGGUGAAAUGCGUAGAGAUCUGAAGGAAUACCGGUGGCGAAGGCAGCCCCCUGGACAGAUACUGACACUCAGAUGCGAAAGCGUGGGAGCGAACAGGAUUAGAUACCCUGGUAGUCC
rnacentral:rRNA from 1 species